GGGGCUAAUACCGGAUAACACAUGAAACCGCAUGGUUUCAUGAUGAAAGACGGUUUUGCUGUCACUUAUAGAUGGACCCGCGGCGUAUUAGCUAGUUGGUAAGGUAACGGCUUACCAAGGCAACGAUACGUAGCCGACCUUAGAGGGUGAUCGGCCACACUGGAACUGAGACACGGUCCAG
rnacentral:rRNA from 1 species